UUUGUACAACAAAAGAAGUGAGAUAUUGUUUUACAAUGUUGAUUUCUUUCUCCAGAGACUGAAAGCUUUUGAACAACUUUAACGUGCAACAAACCAUUGGAAUACAAGGGAUGGAAGAAACAAACAAACACCCAUUCCGAGAGAGUGAAUUAAAGCUUUUGGACGUGAUCUUAGGACAAUAGGAGUGAGAAAUGACUCCAGAAAGCCAACCAAUGUGCAGGAAGUAAGGGUCUUAUUUGUCCAAAAGCAAUCUGAAAUGCAACUAAAUUCCAAGCAACCGCAUGAGCGAAGCAGCUGAAACACUGUCAGCGGAGAAAGACGUGUGCAGGCAGCGCGGGCUGUGCUGAAUUCACUUGCAUGGGAUUUGUUCAGCUGCUGAGAAAUGAAGAAAGUGAU
ensembl:lncRNA